ACAGUUGAUAUCACAUGAAAAUACUGGUAUCAGAUAUUCUCUAGAGAAGCCACAUAAUCGGCAACGUUGCUCUUCUAUAUUUCUUCACUGUCAUUAUAACGUGAACCUCACUAUAAGCUAGUACAGCUGUUCAUGAGUGUAAAAUUUAAAAGAGAUGAAUUAAUUAGCAUACAAAAUUAAUUGAUUGACGUCAAGACAGAUUUGACACUGUGGAGUUCAUUGUUGCGGUGGCUGUGUAUGACAGAAGUCUAUUUUUAUAGAUUCAAGCUAUUUCAAAUAUUACAAGUUUGAUAAAGGAGUGUAGGCAAUCAAUAAAAAUCGACAAAAAACAUUUUUCCAGCAAAGGAAUACGAUCAUUCGGAAGUUCAAUCUCAAAGCAAACGAAAUCAUGGAAGCAUUGGAUAUCAUCCAGUCGACUCAAUUGGUCAUCAUCAUCUUCUAUUCAUCAUCUGUAUUACUCAGCUCUUCUACAACCAUUUCAUAUCCACCAACACCUUCUUCAAAGGUUGAAAUUUUCAAUAAAGUCAUCAAAGGCAUUAUGACUCGUUUAACAUUUAUUGCCAAUGGAGGGGGUUCUGCACAAGAACCAGUAGAAACUCUGGGUGAAUCAACUGUGAGCACGUUGAAUAGAAAAUACCCAAAUAAUGAAUUUGUGCAAAAAUUAUUGAAGGAAGUACAAGGAGGCAGAGUUUUGAAUAGAGAUGGCUUCGUUAAAUUUCUGAUCCGGAAUGCAGGUUUCCUGGCAAAAGCACUUGAGAUAUGCAUCACUUACAAACAAGAUGGUACUGCUAAGGAGGUGAGUGAAUUCGGUGAAAAACAGUUGAAGGAUACAUUAUCAUUACCAGGACAAGAUGCUAUUAAUAUUUUGAACAACAAAGCGCUUAUUAAAUGGAAUGAAGCUGCUGGAAGGAUAUAUUUCUUUGGAGGAUAUGAAGAGGCGAAGUCGCAGGCUACUACGGUAGUUGUUCGAUUAUACGCAUAUUAUUGACACCUUUCUCCUGUUUUAUUAAAAUCUAAAUUCAUUGCUGUACAAUACAGUAGGCUAUCAAAAGCACAAUAUGGAGAAUAAUUGAUUUCAAAAUAAGUGAUAAGGGGAAAUCACAAAAACAACCAAGAAAAGGUUGUUGGUAAUAGAUACCAUAACAAUCUAAAUAGCUGAGCCCUGGAGUGACUCUGUAGUGUGAAGUACCAUUUGUAUUCUUCAAGUUAUUCAUUUCUCCAUAGCACAGCUAUUUCAUUAUUUUUUAUCUGUCUUAGAUUGCAAAUAGCAAGAAUAAUAUACAGGGUGAUUCUUAAUUAUGGUAAAACAAUUUGAUACGUGAUAGUAGAGGUGAAAAUAAGAAAAAAAGUUCUUAUAAACAUAUAUUCAUGAACGCUUUAUUAGCGAGCUUUACAGGGUGAAAGAUUUCGCCCGGAAUUCAGUUCCUCUGGUGAAAUAUACCAAUGCUGAAUUGUUAGGGGA